CUGCUGCCUCCCGUAGGAGUUUGGGCCGUGUCUCAGUCCCAAUGUGGCCGUUCACCCUCUCAGGCCGGCUACUGAUCGUCGCUUUGGUGGGCCGUUACCCCGCCAACUGGCUAAUCAGACGCGGAUCCAUCGUAUACCACCGGAGUUUUUCACACUGUUCCAUGCGGAACCGUGCGCUUAUGCGGUAUUAGCACCUAUUUCUAAGUGUUAUCCCCCUGUAUACGGCAGGUUAUCCACGCGUUACUCACCCGUCCGCCACUAAU
rnacentral:rRNA from 1 species